GGCGGGGCGGGGCCUGCUCGAGUGAGGCCGGGAGCGGACCGCAGCCCGCUGGAGGUGCCGGGGGCGAAAUGCUGGCGUCUGCUCCUCCGUCUCCCAGAAUCCUGCCCUGGAAAAAACCAGCGCCAACCGCCGGUUUAACUGAGGACGGAUUUAAGGCAUUACGAAAGACAGCUUUCCCCUUUGCUCGGCUCUCCUUCUCUCUCCUGCUGCCCUGUGAAGAGGUGUCUUCUGCCAUAAUUGAAAAUCAAAUUUAACAACUGUUUCCACCAGAAAACCAUCAUCAUAAGAACCAAAAAUUAGGCGAGGACUCACAGUACCUGGGUUUAACUUCAUGUCGCUGAAAGAGGCACUGAAAAGGAAGAGGAAGACAGAGCUCUUACCAGGGGGAGGCAGAGAUGGCACAGCAAGAGACAUGCCCCCAGAAUGCCACCAAUGCCCCAGGACAGGCCCACCCAUGGGACCAGGUUAUCGGGAUAACCUGGGAGGAUGGGGUGGAAUCUGAGGGGUGAGCCUUCUUCCCCAGGCUGGAAGUGGGCGACACGAGACUGGCACCUCUACAUCUGAUUGUCCCCCAAACCCAGCAUUUAUGUCGUGAGCAAAGAAAGAAAUCAUGUUACUUCUUCCAGCUGAAAAAAAAAAAAA
rnacentral:lncRNA from 1 species